rnacentral:rRNA from 1 species
CCCUUAGAUGUUCUGGGCCGCACGCGCGCUACACUGACGAAUGCAACGAGCUUAUAACCUUGGCCGAAAGGCCAUUGGUAAUCAGCAAUAAGUGUCGUGAUGGGGAUAGAUCUUUGGAAUUAUUGAUCUUGAACGAGGAAUGCCUAGUAAUCGUAGGUCAUCAGCCUGCGAUGAUUACGUCCCUGCCCUUUGUACACACCGCCCGUCGCUCCUACCGAUUUCGAGUGGUUCGGUGAACCUUUCGGACCGGCAAUGCCUCGUGUUGCGCCGGAAAGUCAAGUAAACCAUAUCACUUAGAGGAAGGAGAAGUCGUAACA